CUUUCUGAGUCUGAACUUCCUUCUCCUGGCUAUGGUGGGUUAUAAGACUCUUCACCAUCUGUGACCCCCUGCUCCGCCUGACUACUUUCCUCCCCCUGUUCUGCUUCAUGCGUCAUUUCCCUGUCUUUCUCUUCUGACAGUUCCUGCUCCGAACCCUCCCCUGCUACUGACGAAGCAGCAUGUUCUGGCUCUUCCCUGACACUCAUCAAACCUAAAUCCGGCCCUGGUAAGUAGGUAUGGGAGUGUAGCACAACAGCACUAUUAAGAUUUCUAGAAUUGUUUGCAUACUCAAUAAAACUCAGUUCAGUCAAGACCAUUCCCUGCUAUUCUGAAAAGCGAACAAAGCACAUCUUAAUGCAGUAUUUCAGCUGCCACCCCCUCCAAGAGAAAAGUGGUUAUUGUAAUUCCAGAUUAGUGGAAAUGUGCAUGGCUUAUUCAUCCUGUGCAUAAAACUGAUAACCCAUGCAGUUGGGACUGUUUAUUUAUUUCUUAUUCAUUUGUUUCAGUCUUUGUGAGUCAUCUGAGUGUUUCCCAUUUGUAAUGUGAUUCUGGAAAAUUAUUUUGCAUAUGUAAUAGUAAACACUUGGCACCACAUCUUCGCAGAGAAUGAAAAUGAUCUAAACAAUUCCCAUCGGCCUAAUGAGCAGAAACGGUGACUGGAACUGUGGCUAAAAUUUUGGCAGCAGAAAACCGACUUGGAUCAUCUGUACUUUUGACUAGCAAGCAUCUUGGGAAUCAAUUGACAUAGCUUUGAUUGCAGCUUAGAAAGGCGUAAGGAGGGAAUCUGGUGUCCAAAAGGCAACUCCCUGAUACUGUCACAACCAACAGCCUAAACAAUAUUUUAGGUUUUUAAUAAAUAGAUUUAGAAUGAAAAUAUUUUAUAUACUUCAUCUGGGGAAGAUGAAAGUAUUCUGUUAGUUCAUUUAGGAUUAUUUUCAACCCAAUAUACAAUUUUUUUUUUUGGUAUAAUCAGAAAAUUUCAAGCGGUCAGGAUAAAGAGGUGCAUAUUAGAUAAAGGUAAAAGUAAAGGACCCCUGGGUGGUUAAAUCUAGUCAAAGACAGCUAUCGGGUUGCAGCACUCAUCUUGUUUUCAAGCCAAGGGAGCCAGCGUUUGUCCACAGACAGCUUCCCGGGUCAUGUGGCCAGCAUGACUAAACCACUUAUGGUGCAACAGAACACCAUGAUGGAAACCAGAACGCACAGAAACUCUGUUUACUUUCCCGCCACAAUGGUACCUAUUUAUCUACUUGCACCGGUGUGCUUUCGAACUGCUAGGUUGGCAGGAACUGGGACAGAGCAAUGGGAGUUCCCCCCGUCACAGGGAUUUGAACCACUGACCUUCUGAUCGACAAGCCCAAGAGGCUCAGUGGUUUGUACCUCAGUGCCACCCACAUCCAUAUUAGGACAUCUGGGAAAGGUAGGCUGGUGCACGUAAUCCACUUUUCGAUGGGGCAAAUGAAGCAGCACCAGCAGUUACAGAAAGGAUGGUGUUCCCAACAACCAAUAAGAGUCACAGCAGAAGGUACUAAAAUGGAGGCAAUCAGGAAUAUCUAUUGCAUCGGAGAGGAGAAGGUUACUGCACGGUAAAGCAGAAAGUAUUUAAUAGGUGAUACAUGGUGUCUAUAGAAAUCCAUACUGAUUCUGUAUAUCCUAAUGCCAGCCAGUGUUCUCUAGGCGUUCUUAUCUGCUAUAGGGGCAUGAUCUUACCUAGUAUUAUUUUCUGAGCUGGCUAAUUGUGAUGUUUUUGAUACAUUAAGAGGUCAAUCCUACACUGAAAAUCAGUCAGAUGAGCAGCCAGGUCUACCUUAACACCACAACAGAUAUACCACUGGGAUAUCCCAUAUAAUAUAACUUUAUGUGCAAGUGUGUUUGUGUCACUCACCCCUGCAUGACAAACUGUGCCUGUAAAUAAUAAAAAAUAAAAAAUAAAGCUCACUAUUUGUAUAGCGGCAGGAAGAUAUAGAAAUCCCAAUGCAACUAUUGCAAUAACCAUCAUACACAGGUCUUCGUGAAUAGAAUAAUUGCUAUUAUCUGCUAAUAUAAAUACAUAAAUACAUAUCAGCUUUGCACUUGAGCGUUUCCACAUAUGGUAAUGCAACCUGACACUCCUUGUGUCAGGAUAACAGACAGAAAUUAACCGUCGCACAAGAAACAUAGGUAUAUGAAUAGUUACAGUGCAAAGCUACAGCAAAUGAAAAGAGAAAUCAUUAAGAAGCUGCAAACGCUGUUUCCAUUUCUGUAUCUGCACAUGGUAGUCAUCCUUGCUCAAUGAGCUCAUUAGAAAAACAAAACAGCUUUGUUUGAUAAUGCACCAUGGUGUAUGUGAUACUCCAUAGGGACCACGGCAAGGGUCUUGUAACCUCCGGCACAGCGCAUGAAAUCUAUGUGCUUCCCAUGGAAAAAGAACGUCACGUAGCACUAUACAAUACAACAAAUAUGGAGCUAACACCCUCUGGGUUUCUAGUCAGUGAUCUCACAGCUAGUAAAAAUGGCGAUUCUAGUUAAUGUAAAUACAAGAUAACAAAAAAUACAGGCCUUCUCCGAUUUCUUUGCUUGGGAAAGCUGUAUUUUUCAGUAUGGUGUUAUAAAAGUGUCAGAGCUGGGAGCUCUCGCUUUCUUAUAUAAUAGAAUUGUAUUGUGUUGGUUUGUGUGUGUGUAAGCAUAUGCACACACAGGCAAUACUUGUCAAAAAUUGCUUUUUGGAGAGUGAGUUUUAGAAAUGCCAUUCCUAAUGUGAUUUCUCCUCAUAAAAGGAAAACAUAUUUUGAUGGCUUUAUUAUUUAUGUAGUAAUGACCUGUGCUUUUUAAUUAGGAUUGAAACAAUAAUAUUUAUGUUCAGCUGAACUACUGCUUUUUAAAAAUAUAUUUCCGAACACAUGCUGAAAAGUUUGACGUCUCUUUCAGCACCCUAAAAUGAAAUGCAACAGGGAGGACUAUGGUUAUAGUUUCUUUUCUCUUCUCAGCAUUCAACAACUACCUUUACUGUACUGACCAACAAGUUCAGUGUCAAAUAUGCAGUGAUUAGAAGCAGCAGGUACAGUUUCUGCUGUAGUGGCAGCAGCAAUGCUGGUAUAAAUGUAAUAUAAAAGAUGAAUACAAACCCAAGUCAUCUCUGGGCAGUGAAGAGUCAGGCUGGAUGAAUUGGUCUGUCUCUGCCCUAGUGACUUUUGCAUUGCUCAUAAGUAAAACAAAACAAACAAACUCCUUGUGAAAAUUUUAGCACUAAUUUCACCAAAUACCCAAAUUUGUGUAUGCAAUUUCUCCUUAUAUACACAUUUGGCAAAGCAUUUCUGCUUAAUAUAAUGCAUUUUUGUAUGUUAUUUUCACUAAAAUGCCUGUUUUAUACAUAUUAGUUGGUGGAAAAUCAGCAUUGCAAAAUUCAGAAAAGUGCAAAUUUAGAAGAAUGACUGUCCUUUGGUUUGCAUAUUGUUUUGUAAACUGCAAAUUAGGUAGGUUCACUUUUAAAUAUGAGCUGAAUUGAAUCCCCCCCCAUCCUUACAUUUCAGAGACAAAAGGGAAGAGUCAGACAUCGGGCUGCUGCUCUUGGCAUCAGCCAUGCUUCGCCUAGCAUGUAGUUACACUCUUAUUCUGAGUCAGACCAAUUGUCCAUCUAGCUUAGCCCACCCAGAAGCAGAUUACUAGAGUUUUGAUGUUAUAAUUCCAUGCAGCCAGCCAAAUGCAGAAUUGCUCCUGGGCCUGGCUGGCAGUUCGUGAUCACAAUUUUCGAAGGUGAUGCUGAGAAUGCUGUUGCUUCGUGUAUAGGAGCAAUUUCCCUUGUGCCCUCCCCUCUCCCUUUGGCUAUCAUGAUGUGAACCUAGAAGUAAGCAUACGUUUGAUGGGUUUCUUGGGACGAUGGUGUCUGUAGGCCCUUUCAGCCAAGCAUUUCUCCAUUAUCCGAAACCCUUUAACUGCUGGGAAUGCCUUUGGGAUUUUAUGCAUGCAAAAAUAUGUGCCUUUCUUCUGGGACAUGGAUAGUAGGCAUGCUGCGUUAAUAGCAGAAUGUAAAAUAUGGGUUUAAGUAAAGCCCACUCCUCCUUUUGGCAUUAGCUCUGGUCAUUGAACCCUUUCCCAGAUGCAGGGAUGGGCUAUGCUUUGUAAUUGUUUGGGGAGGAGAAAUAUUAUGAAAUUUCUUUUGUAUAAUUGAGGUCGCUAUUUAUUGUUCCAAAAAUGUGCAAAUCAUUUUGCUGAUUUCAUUUUUUUCUGGGCAGACUACUCUGAGAAUUAUUAACGUCCAUUUCUGGAACUGCUAUGAAAUAACCAAGGCUAACGUGACCACAGUGCUGGAGGAAAAGGCCAUAAUAUCACUAUUUAUUUCUUUAGGAUAGGCAUGAUAUGCUUUAGCUUCCCCUUUGCCUUAUGUUUUUAUUCCCACCCUCUAAGUUCAGUAGAAGUUAAACAUUCUGUUCCUCCUUUGAACUUUCAGGGAAUUUCUACCCUCUUGUCUAAGCUGCCUUUUAUAAAUCGAAAUUUGUUUAUUGAAUGUUUAGAAUAAUAUAACAAAAUAACAGAGAGAGAGACACAUCAGAGGGAACCACAAACACAGAAUAAUUAGGAGAUCAAUAAACUAUUCAGGAAUACAUAAAUGACUUUACAAUGACCUUCUCCAAUAAAAGAGAUGAAGAGUGUAUAGGCCAUGCAAAUCUUAAAUGCUAGUUACAGUGCCAAGUGAAUUCAAGUAGGCUGGCAAUGUUGACUUAGCUGUUCUAAUUGUGCAGAGCUUGGCAGAUCACAGAAUAAAAGAACAGUAUGGAGAACAAAAGGCACAAGCACAACAAAGAAAUAUGCCUAAAAGAAAUAGACUUGAAAGAAACAGUUGGGAGAGAAACAAUAAAUAGAAUCAGGAAGUUAAGUCUGCAUAGAAAAUAAAAUACGUAGCACUAUGAUAAGUUUUCCACCAAAGCUUAAAGUCAAGUUUAUCACACUGCUGCUACUUAAAAACACUUCCCCCACAGGAGCUGAACUUACAGUUUCCUUUUGUAUGCCAUCCCAUCAGGAACUGCUGUGAAUCAUAGCUAGGGCCUUUGAAUGUCAAUCUGACAGACUUCACUUCUAUAUGCACUUGAUGGCAGAUCAGGGCAACAUAAAAGUGGUCUGCUUUCAAGAAUUGCUCCCUCCUAGUUUUUCAGCCAAGGUACCAAGCAUGAUAUGGAAACAUGCACAACAGGAGUGGUUGCUGUGGUUGGGCAGAAGUACUUACCUGACUUCCCAGCAGUGGAGUCACUGCUGCAAAACAGUGGGAAGGUGGUGCAGUGCUAAUAUACCAGCAGGAGUGCUGGAUUGACUCAGCCAGUGUAUUUGCACCACACUGAUUGUACCACUGUCUAUCUCCCCCUCCCCUUCGGAUAUGCAGCAGCAACUCACAUGCUGGGAGGUCAGGUAAGGGCCUCUGUCCCACCACACCACCUGCUUCUGAUGUAUAAGGAUCAGGAGCUGUCACCUGACCUUUUCUGGGUUAGUGGCGGAUGUGGAUACCUUGGAUAGAGUGGUCCACUCAAGUCAACAGUUCAAUUUCUGCUGCAGUCCUGACAUCAUUGCACCAAGGAGCUCCAUGAAAGCAGGAGUUUCCCUUGUUCUGUAAUGGCAAGGAAUAUGCCACAAAGAACAUCUUACCAGUUACGUCCCCUUGACACCAAUGUGUUCAUUAUUACGUCUGCAGCGUACUAAUGAACAUUUAUGCAUACAUUGGGGAAAUUGUUGCUUCCAACAUACAUUCUUUCUGAACAAAACAACUGGAGGUGAGGUGAUCAGGAAGAUGCUGUACAGUGUGUCCAGGCCUAUGUUUCUAUCUGCACAGCCCAAUAAUAUGAGGGAGUCACUACAUUUCUUUUCAUUCUGGAUGACAUUUUAUGUUAAAGAGCAUGACAGCUUAAUUUCAGUUAAGCACUGCUAACAAUAGGAAUUCACACAGAAAGCCAGCAGUCAUGCAGUCAUUGAUCGUGUAUGUAAAUGAUGUAGCCCAUUGUGCUUGGUCAUUGUGAAGAUUCUCAUUAUAAAACCUUCCUUCCUGUCACCUACGUGUGUGACAGACAUUAGCAAAUAUGCUGUAUGCAGCCACGUGAAAGCUGGCACCAUCAAAACAUUUUCAUCCGGGAAAGGAUCCCGUAAGUUGUGGGUUGUUGUUUGUUGCUGCUGUGAGGCACUGAGAAUUCUAGCGAAUGCCCAUUAGGGAAUAAUCUGUUCUGAACCUCAAAACAUACUCCACUCAAAUUCUUUUUGACCAUUUGUGUCUCUCCCCCACUCUCUUUCAAUCCAGGGAACAGAAGACAUGACUUCUUCCUGAUAUUUAUGCAGAGUCAGGAAGCCCAACCCAUCACAGACAUCUACCCAGUGCUAUUUUUCUAGAAAAAGAGGUGUGGGAACUCACUCUUGUUCUCUUAUAAUGGCAAUGGCGCCCACCUGAGAGGUGCCGGAACUGAGUUCUGGUGAGUUCUGGCUGAAAAAACCCCUGCAUCUACCUCAUCUUUUCAUUACCUAACAGUUUUAGCCGGCUUUAAAUAGUGCAACUUGGUUCUUAAAGGACCCCUGCUGAUAUUUCCUCCAACCCACAGCAAAUCUCCUAUUUCCUCUCAGUUCCUGGAAUACUACCAGGUGAUAUUUGCCCAGAAUUGCCUCCAGUUUUGCUAGUUUCAGCCACAGGAAAGGGUGCUUCCUGUUCUGGCUCCAUGUAGCAUCUAGACUGCCAGUGUUCUCUUGCAGCGUUCCUGCAGCCUUGCUUCCUCUGCCUACAUUCUUAUAUGAUCAUAGAGAGGCUGGGGAAAAUUCAGACGGCCAAUUGCUGCCACACCCAGCUUCUGCCACAUUCACAUCCCAUUGGUUGAUGGAGCAGACAUAGUCCCAGCUAUGCCAGACAUAGUCCCAGCUAUGCCAGACAUAGUCCCAGCUAUGCCAGACUUCCCACAUACCCUUCUGCUAUAGCUCAUACUUGGAGUGUGAUUCUGUGGAAGGUUAGGGUGGGGUGGGUUUUUAAGUAAAUUUAAAAACAGUGUAAUAACAAAAUGUAGUCCCGUACAUUCUCAAAUUUAUUGAAAGUGGCCUUACACCGAGUUGAACCAUUAGUCUAUCUAUCUGAGUGCUGUCCACUCUAUACUAGGCGACAGUUCUUCUCCAGAGUUUUGGAGAAGAGAUUUUCUCAGCCCUGCUUGGAGAUGCCAGAGGUUAAACCUGGAACCUUUUCUACCACUGCACUAUAGCUCUUCCCCAUAAAGGACUGCUGCUGCCCAGGACUGACCUGCUGGGAGCCUGAAGGGCCCUGCGCUGCCUCUCUCCACCUGGCUUGGGGCGGGGUCUGGAGGACUCCAUAAAGGGCUGCUGCUGCUGCUGCUGCUGCUGCUCAACAGAGAUGGAUGCUUUUAAAUGUUUUUAUUUUUUAUCUAUAUCAUUUUAAAUUGUUAUUGAUAUCAAUGUUGUAUUUUUUAGUUUUAGAUUUUAUGAUUUAUG
rnacentral:lncRNA from 1 species